CAGAAACACUGAAACACUCAGAGGUCCCCAUAAACACUGAAACACUCAGACGUCCCCAUAAACACUGAAACACUCAGAGGUCCCCACAAACACUGAAACACUCAGAGGUCCCCAUAAACACUGAAACACUCAGAGGUCCCCAUAAACACUGAAACACUCAGAGGUCCCCACAAACACUGAAACACUCAGAGGUCCCCAUAAACACUGAAACACUCAGAGGUCCUCAUAAACACUGAAACACUCAGAGGACCCCAUAAACACUGAAACACUCAGAGGUCCCCAUAAACACUGAAACACUCAGAGGUCCCCACAAACACAGAAACACUGAAACACUCAGAGGUCCCCAC